GGGCGAACUUAUCUCUUUUCUUGUUUUAUUUUUAUUUUCUUUUAUUUAUUUUUAAUGACUUCUGAGAUGGGACUGACGGCACCGCGCAGCUUAGCACCCGUUUCAGAGCAUAACAAAAAUCUCAGCAUUUGAAUCUGCCAUGAAACAGCCAUUUUCUGCAAGAUGGAAAUUUCUGUGGGUUGGUCUCAUGCAGGAAACGAAAUGCAGUUACUGAACAAAGAGAAUUAAAAUGACGCAGAACUAUAUUCAAGACAACAUUAUUCCCAUCCCACUGGGAUUUGGGACCAGAGGCACGUAAGAGGAGUCAGCCCUGAUUGCACGCUGCGACACACAGGCUUGCAGAAUACUCUCUCGCAAAAUCAGUACUGCAAUCUGUGGAUGCACCUGAGGCCAGCCUCCACGUCAAAACAUGGCAAGAAACGGUUAAUCUGGUUUAGUUAUCAGCAUAGGUUCAUCUCUCAGGGAGUUGUACUUAUUUAAUCUCAGGAAUAAGACAAUCUUGACAAAAUGAAAGGUUCUCUAAGUUCUAAACCCACCAAUUUCUGGCAUUUUAAAGAAACUGAAAACAGAAUUUAAGGAACAGAGGGAAAAAUCAUAUUUGUGUUCAAUUUAACAGCGAAAAACAAUCAUCCUGCUCAGCCCUUAAAAUUUACUCUUUCUUUCUCUCAUCUUUUUUCUUUCUGAGAAUCACAGAAGAGAAGAGAAUCAGAGAAGAGACCAGUAUUACUCAAAUGGCACAACAGAGUUUAUUGGUUUGUCCCGGGCCUCGACACCAGCCCUGCUGCCAGCUGCCACACGCAAAGCAGAGACAACACUGUUGUCUCCUCAGCACUGGAUGCAGGAUUUUUUUCCACUUGUUGAAAUGAUAUCAAGGCGUCAGUAUCAGCAGACAGAUUUCAUUCACACACAUUGAAGAGGGGCAGUUUUGCAGAAAUGUACCAUUGAAAACACCCUAAGGCACCAAAUGUGAAGUUUCUGAAGAGGAUGGGUUUCUGUGCAAGCCGCCAAGCCAGGGAAACACUAACACUACAUGUUCAGAACCUCCCUGCCUACUGUCGCUCCCUCUGGGGAGUUUACAGUGUGAAAUCUCCCUCCUAGCUCCAUCUGGUCUUCAGGUCUCCCUUGCUCGUCUUGCAAAUAACUGGCAGACUGGAGUUCAAGCAAAUGCUUCAAACAACAUUCAUUGACACCUAAGAACCAACGGAAGCGAAUCGAACUGUUUGACUCAUCUGACUUAUCAGCUUGGUACGGUUUUCCACAGGACUGCAGUAUAGACUCCCCCUCCCCACACGUACCACUUAACUCCUUUUGGUAAACUGAGAAAGCUCCACCUUGAAGGUCAUGUUCAUUCCACGGUAUCCUUGUUCAGACAAGUUCUCUUGAGGUCCCCUCAAAUGGUGAACUUGACAUUUCUCUGCUCAUUGAUGUACACCAGCCCUUCUCUGGAGCUUGCUGCAGGCUGAGUCCACCUGUCCUGAAACGUGCCCUGGUAGCAUACGCCACGUCCUUGAUGCCUCACUGGGUGCUUGUACAACCGGGCUAAUACUUUCUUUUCCAUCACACACUUUCCUCCCUCUUAGAGUUACUUUGCGCAACCCUUCCUAACACAGAGGCGUUGUCAGGAGGUGGCUGUGUGGCUCCUUGGCUGUGUUCCAGUGACUUCUGUCUCACAAAUGGAUGCUCAAGGGAGUUCAUGGGAGCGAUGACAAGGUUCAGCCUCUGCUGAAGCUUGGCUUUGCUGCAGCUAUAGCAUUUCACAGAUACUUAAUGCAUAGUAGUUUGCGGCUACAGGAUAAGCUAUACACUAUUUACAAGCAAGUCUACCUAAAAUAACAGUAGUUAAGAUGCACCGGAUAAAAUCUUGAAUCUUCAUGACAACUUUUGUACUAAUUUGCAAGGGCAGCCCUGCAAAUUGUGUUGGUGCUAGUAUCCCUCGUGUGCUGCCUUUAAAUAUGGAGUACUCUGUUGGUCUUCACUCUAAGGACUGUAAUUAUGGGUUGCUAGCAAAGUGAUUUCAGAGGUAUUGGGAGGGGAUGAAGGACGAUGGCAGUAAUGUUAUUAAGUCAGCCCAGCAUCUCUACAACACAUUGGAAGGGAAUGCAUGUCCUGGAUCAUUUUUACAAUGUAGCUUUGCCUUGAGACAAUUUUUGAGAAGACAUUCUUCAAAAGAAUACAGAAUAAUGACAAUUCAGAUGUGACAAAAGUAAGACGGCGUCCAUGCUCUCACAGUCUUCACGAUUUUCAGCACUCUCUUGCUGAUGCUGUGAAGGCAAGCGAGCCUAAGCAGAACAGAACCUCAGCAUGGGCUGUCAGCCCAGUCACCAUCCCCCGAGGAAAACGUGGCAAGGCAAAAUGAUGUCACAGUCUUGAUGCGUUGGCUGAAAUGCGGACUAAAGAUUGCAGCAUUUGCUUGUUUUUUGUUUAAAACACAGAAAUGAAGCAAAUAAAAAGCAGUAGGUAUACUUGCUGGAUAUAGUCGAUCUCCAACAUUGCUGCAGAAUAAGUUAGUUGCAUUGCUAGGGCAGCUAAUGCAAAGUUACCUUUUUGCCCCUUGGUCUCUACCAAUGAAAUCAACGAUGAUCCAGUGCCAGGUGCCUAGAUCACGCGCACAGCCAACAAAAUUAUGUGGCAUCUUCCACAGAUGAAGGCUGUUGUCAUAGAAGAAAGUCACUAAAGAUGGAUAACAUGAAGAGGAGGAAAUAAAUACUGUGAUUCCUGCCAGUUGAGAGUCCCCCAGGUAAGCCACAUAUUUCCCAAUUUGACUGCCAGCAAGCAGACUGUACAUGCAUUUUGUACCAGAUGGAAACUCACCACUAGCCACACCUGAUUAUUUCUAAGCAUAGACACUGACAGCUCAUCAUCUGAUAACUGUUGGUUCACCAUGCCUCAUUGACCUGGAGACUUCAAACCCAGGGACGUUUCAACAAAAGCUGACUAAUAACAACAUAACAUACCUGCACUUUUUCAAAAGCACCAGGAUCACAUUCCUCUAUUGAAAAGUUAUGAUAGAUUGACGCAAACAGUGCACUGCCUGACCCUCGUCCAACACAAACAAAUAGUUUGACUUUGUACUGCAAUCACUCUCUACUUGUGUAAGAGCAAAAGCUGGCUGGAAGUCCUUAAGUGUCCAGAAACUCAACCAAUCACAGUCUCCUUGAAUGUCAGGAUAGUAAGAAAUACUUUGCAUUAAUCUACUGUCCUAUUUUUCUGGACUAUUGAGCUCUGCCAAAAUCCCCAGGAGUUUAUACAGUUCAUUAUACUAAAGGAAAAGAAUAGCACAGGUAGAUUAAAGUCAGUGGAGCUAUGGAAAAAGUGUUAAAAUGACAAACUGGUGCACUACUUUAAUAUAUCUAUCCAGAAGGACACCUGAGCAUAUUUUCAACUUCAGCACGUGGCUAGUCCCAGUGACUACUGCAGCCUUAAUCUGUGCAUGUGCCUACAAGUUUUGGUGACCUCUCAUGGAUUAGGAUCUACUCAGACACACGUAGGAGUGCUGACUGCUGCACUGUGCUGCAGUUUGCCAGUCUCACUACUCUAAAAGUCUGGUCUGAAUUAAGCUUCUAAAUGGCGAUAUUCCAUUCCCAUCAUAAUACAUCACCCUUUCCAACAUGCAUCAUGGAAACAGGGCACUGCUUCUUUAAAUGUAGUGGAUGCAAAACUAUUUGAUCCUAUCAAUGAGACCAAUUUGAGUAGAAGCUAAAAGUCUAUAAGGAACAAUGUUUUGCCUGGUUUAAGAUUCAUGCAUGAACAAACCC